GCCGUAGCUCAGUGGUAGAGCAUCUGCCUCGCAUGUAGAAGGUCUCAGGUUCAAUACCUGACAUCUCCA